rnacentral:rRNA from 1 species
UACGGAGGGUGCGAGCGUUGUUCGGAAUCACUGGGCGUAAAGCGCGUGUAGGCGGCCCACUAAGUCUGAUGUGAAAGCCCGGGGCUCACCCCCGGAAGUGCAUUGGAAACUGGUGGACUCGAGUCCCGGAGAGGAGAGUGGAAUUCCUGGUGUAGCGGUGAAAUGCGCAGAUAUCAGGAGGAACACCAGUGGCGAAGGCGGCUCUCUGGGCAUUACCUGACGCUGAGGAGCGAAAGUGUGGGGAGCGAACAGG